AUUGAACGCUGGCGGCAGGCCUAACACAUGCAAGUCGAGCGCGCGGCGGACGGGUGAGAAAUGUAUGGGGACUGCCCGAUAGAGGGGGAGAACAACUGGAAACGGUAGCUAUAACCGCGUACUACCGGAUAGUCCAUAUGGGAGUAGCUGGUAUGUGAGGUAAUGGCUCACCUAGGCGACGAUCCCUAGCUGGUCUGAGAGGAUGAUCAGCCACACUGGUACUGAGACACGGCCCAGACUCCUACGGAGGCAGCAGUGGGGAAUAUUGCACAAUGGGCGAAAGCCUGAUGCAGCCAUGCCGCGUGUAUGAAGAAGGCCCUAGGGUUGUAAAGUACUUUCAGUCGGGAGGCGUUACCGACAGAAGAAGCACCGGCUAACUCCGUGCCAGCAGCCGCGGUAAUUC
rnacentral:rRNA from 1 species